GUUUUUAUAGAUUUUUUAGGUCUAUGUUACAAUAUUUUAUACUGAAUUCUUUUGGUAAAUAAUAAUUAGGAUACCAAGCUUAAAAAAAAGCUUGAUCGAGACUCGGUUAAAAUCAUCCUGCUGACCUAUCCUUAUAGCCAGCAAGCAUCCCUCAAACAUCUCGUAAUAAUACAGUUCACAGUAAAAUAGAAUAUUAACUGGAGAUUCUCUCGUAAAAAAGAAAAACCAGAAUAUCAAAUUAUUUAAUGAUCCUUCCGCAGGUUCACCUACGGAAA
rnacentral:misc_RNA from 1 species